UCGGGAUAGCUCAGCUGUAGAGCAGAGG
rnacentral:tRNA from 1 species